rnacentral:rRNA from 1 species
UUUUUUUUACAAAAAAUUGAAUUUGUAUUUUAAGUAAGAAUACUUAAAUAUAAAAAGGGGACGAUAAGACCCUGAAAGCUUUAUAUAACUUUUUAUUAAUUUAGUUUUUUUAUAACAGUAAAAACUUAUAAUUAGCUGGGGAAGUUUUAAUACGAAAACUAUAAUUUUGUUUUGCUUGGGUUUUAUGAUCCGUUAAAUAACGAUAAAUAGAGUGAGUUACUUCAGGGAUAACAGCAUAAUAAUUUUGUAGAGUUCUUAUCGAUAAAAUUGACUGUGACCUCGAUGUUGAAUUAAGAGUUCUAACUAAGGAAAAAUGUAGUAUAGAUGGUUUGUUCAACCUUUAAUUUCUUACAUGAUCUGAGUUCAAACCGG